rnacentral:rRNA from 1 species
UACGGAGGGAGCUAGCGUUGUUCGGAAUUACUGGGCGUAAAGCGCGCGUAGGCGGCUUUGUAAGUUAGAGGUGAAAGCCCGGGGCUCAACCCCGGAACUGCCUUUAAGACUGCAUCGCUUGAAUCCAGGAGAGGUGAGUGGAAUUCCGAGUGUAGAGGUGAAAUUCGUAGAUAUUCGGAAGAACACCAGUGGCGAAGGCGGCUCACUGGACUGGUAUUGACGCUGAUGUGCGAAAUCGUGGGGAGCAAACAGG